AGAGUUUGAUCCUGGCUCAGAAUCAACGCUGGCGGCGUGCCUAACACAUGCAAGUCGCACGAGAAAGGGGAGCAAUCCCUGAGUACAGUGGCGCACGGGUGAGUAACACGUGACUAACCUACCUUCGAGUGGGGAAUAACCUGGGGAAACCCGGGCUAAUACCGCAUAACACUUACGAGUCAAAGCAGCAAUGUGCUUGAAGAGGGGGUCGCGGCCGAUUAGCUAGUUGGCGGGGUAAUGGCCCACCAAGGCUUUGAUCGGUAUCCGGCCUGAGAGGGCGCACGGACACACUGGAACUGAAACACGGUCCAGACUCCUACGGGAGGCAGCAGUGGGGAAUUUUGCGCAAUGGGGGAAACCCUGACGCAGCAACGCCGCGUGGAGGAUGAAGUCUCUUGGGACGUAAACUCCUUUCGAUCGGGACGAUAAUGACGGUACCGGAAGAAGAAGCCCCGGCUAACUUCGUGCCAGCAGCCGCGGUAAUACGAGGGGGGCAAGCGUUGUUCGGAAUUAUUGGGCGUAAAGGGCGCGUAGGCGGCUUGGUAAGUCUUGUGUGAAAUCUUCGGGCUCAACUCGAAGUCUGCAUAGGAAACUGCCGAGCUUGAGUAUGGGAGAGGGUGAGUGGAAUUUCCGGUGUAGCGGUGAAAUGCGUAGAUAUCGGAAGGAACACCUGUGGCGAAAGCGGCUCACUAGACCAUAACUGACGCUGAGGCGCGAAAGCUAGGGGAGCAAACAGGAUUAGAUACCCUGGUAGUCCUAGCCCUAAACGAUGAUCGCUUGGUGUGGCGGGUAUCCAAUCCCGUCGUGCCGAAGCUAACGCGUUAAGCGAUCCGCCUGGGGAGUACGGUCGCAAGACUGAAACUCAAAGGAAUUGACGGGGGCCCGCACAAGCGGUGGA
rnacentral:rRNA from 1 species